CAGAAAUGUGGGCAUGUGCUCCUGUGAUAAGGCAUUUGUGAAGAAAGAAAGGAUAUGAAAGUACAGAGCAACUCAAUACAAGUCUAGUUGGGACUUGCCAGCAAUCAUGCCAGCUCACAUCAACACCAAGCCAUGACCGAUACCACCUAUUCUUCUAAGGGAAGUCACAAUGGAUCUCUGGACUUGCACUUCAGAUGAUGACGGAAGCAAGGAUAUAUUUAACUGAGGACUCCACAAAGGACUAACCACAGAUGGGCAACUCUGGCCCUCCAUACGCUUUCACACUGCAGUUCCUGUAAAUCCUCAUCAUUACUAUGCUGGCUUGGACUUAUAGGACAAAAUCUGUGCAGGUCUACAGUUGUCUGACUAUAUACUAAAAUGAAGGCUGACCACCUCAUAAGGUAAAAUAAAUCUUAAUGUAUGCAGACUUGGUGAUCAACUGACACAAGAGGGAAAGAAGUAUUUAUCAACAAAAGAGUUUACGGCACUGGGUUUCUUUUAAUAAACUUUGAGAAAGUCUAGAAUCCAUUUCUUAUCUCUGUAAUAUUUUAAGCUAAAG